AAUCAGGUGAUUCCAGUUUCCCAGUUAGGGAAUAUGACAGCUUCUUCGUCGUUCCAAUCAAAGGAGGAUGAAUCACUUUUUAAGAAGCUUAAUUUGGAUACAUAAAGUGGUGGAGAAUCACCAGGAAUUUGAAUAAAUCUCAUAGGAGUUGGGAUGAAGAAGUUAUCCCACUUUCAAAUCAGGUGAUUCCAGUUUCCCAGUUUAGGAAUAGGACAGCUUCUUCGUCGUUCCAAUCAAUGCAGGAUGAAUCACUUUGUAAGAAGCUUGAUUUGGAUACAUAAAGUGGUGGAGAAUCACCAGGAAGUUGAAUAUAUCUCAUAGGAGUUGGAUGAAGAAGUUAUCCCACUUUCAAAUCAGGUGAUUCCAGUUUCCAGUUUGGGAAUAGGACACUUCUUCGUCGUUCCAAUCAAAGCAGGAUGAAUCACUUGUAAGAAGCUUGAUUUGGAUACAUAAAGUGUUUGAGAAUCACCAGGACGUUGAAUAAAUCUCAUAGGAGUUGGAUGAUGAAAAGUUAUCCCACUUUCAAAUCAGGUGAUUUCAAUUUUCCAGUGUGGGAAUAGGACGGCUUCUUCGUCGUUCCAAUAAAUGCAGGAUGAAGCACUUUGUAAGAAGCUUGAUUUGGAUACAUAAAGUGGUGGAGAAUCACCAGGAAGUU